rnacentral:rRNA from 1 species
UACGAAGGGGGCUAGCGUUGCUCGGAAUCACUGGGCGUAAAGCGCACGUAGGCGGAUCUUUAAGUCAGGGGUGAAAUCCUGGAGCUCAACUCCAGAACUGCCUUUGAUACUGGGGAUCUCGAGUCCGGAAGAGGUGAGUGGAACUCCGAGUGUAGAGGUGAAAUUCGUAGAUAUUCGGAAGAACACCAGUGGCGAAGGCGGCUCACUGGGCCGUAACUGACGCUGAGGAGCGAAAGCGUGGGGAGCGAACAGG